rnacentral:lncRNA from 1 species
CAGGAACUUUUUUCUUACAUUGGCCCAUGUAUGCUACUGAGAUCAACAUGCGCUAAGAGGAAAACCAAAAUGAAAGUUUCUAUUGGUUGGUGAAAAGCAAGAUCUUCGUCUUUCCCGUCCGGUUGGAGGCUGCUCUUCUCCCAAGUGCCCAUUAUGUGGCAGGUUCUCAGAAAUUAUUGAUCAAGAGAAAGAAGAUGGAUUCUUGCCCUCCAGGAGGUCACUUCCGAGGCAGUACAUAAGACAGCUGCAUACCAGGUAGCUGGUACUGACUGGCUGAUGAAUGACACACAGCGCUGAGAGACGGAAUGCUUCUGAUCAGAUCGAAAGGCAGGCUGCAUUGGAAAGUGGUGCUUCCAGCUGAAAUCAUGGUGCCCUCCCUUAUCAGAACAC